rnacentral:lncRNA from 1 species
AGAGCCACCACCAGGGUAGGCGAGAUGGCCGCCUCCAUGUCCUUCGUCUCCAAGUUUCUCCACAGCAAAGGGCUCACGAACGGGCAACAGCUGCAGACCUUCAGCCACAGCCUGCAGGAACUGCUGACAGAACAUUAUAAACAUCACUGAUUCCCAGAAAAGCCAUACAAAAGAUCAAGUUAUCUUUGUAUUCGCAUCAACCAUGAAAUGGAUCCCCUGGACAGGCAGCACAGUGGAUUGGACCGAGCAGUCAGGAGCUGUUCAAGCUUUUCCCAAGUGAACUCACACUCUGGGUUGGACUCACGCUCACCUCAACCUAUGAGAUGUCUGUCCUGCAGAAUUGGAGAAGAUGGCUCCAUCUGUGUGCUGUAUGAAAGCCCCACCAGCAGGGGGUAGCACUCAAAACAGCACCGACAUACAAAUGGUAGACAGCUGAAUAAACUGUAAGGACGAAUUUCUCUUGGGCAGAACCAGCCCUUCCAAAAACUACAGUAUGAUGACUGUAUCA